rnacentral:rRNA from 1 species
UACAGAGGGGGCCAGCGUUAUUCGGAAUUAUUGGGCGUAAAGGGCGCGUAGGCGGCCAUGCGUGUCUUCCGUGAAAUCCCUCGGCUUAACUGAGGACGUGCGGAAGAAACUGCAAGGCUUGAGUCCGGGAGAGGGGGGUGGAAUUCCCAGUGUAGCGGUGAAAUGCGUAGAUAUCUGGAGGAACACCGGUGGCGAAGGCGGCAUUCUGGACCGAUAUUGACGCUGAGGAGCGAAAGCCAGGGGAGCAAACGGG